rnacentral:rRNA from 1 species
CCCUAUUAUGAAAGGUUUAAGGAAUUGGUAUAUUAUAAGACAAUUAAAAAACUUGGCGGUUAUUAAUUGAUUUAGAGGAGCUUGUUUUAAUUGAGAAUUUGCUCUUUAUAUUUUAUUGAUUUGAAUGUUUAUUCAUCUCCGUUAUUAGAUAUGGUUUGAAAAAAAAUUGGUUUUGAAUUUCAGGUCGAGAUGUAGCUUAUUUUAAAUAGGAUUAGCUACAAUUAAGUAUUAUUUGGAUUUUGUGAGGAAUGAUCAUAGAGAAAAGUGAAUUUGGUUGUAAUAAUAAUUAGAAUACUAUUAUGAAGUGUUGUUAAUAAUGUA